rnacentral:rRNA from 1 species
UACGAACUGUGCGAACGUUAUUCGGAAUCACUGGGCUUACAGGGUGCGUAGGCGGCUUUCUAAGUCAGGGGUGAAAUCCUGGAGCUCAACUCCAGAACUGCCUUUGAUACUGGAGCUUGAGUCCGGGAGAGGUGAGUGGAACUCCGAGUGUAGAGGUGAAAUCGUUAGAUAUUCGGAAGGAAACACCAGUGGCGGAAGGGCGGGCUCACUGGCCCCGGGUACUGACGCUGAUGGUGCGAAAAGCGUGGGG